rnacentral:rRNA from 1 species
GACGAACGCUGGCGGCGUGCCUAAUACAUGCAAGUAGAACGCACAGUUUAUACCGUAGCUUGCUACACCAUAGACUGUGAGUUGCGAACGGGUGAGUAACGCGUAGGUAACCUGCCUGGUAGCGGGGGAUAACUAUUGGAAACGAUAGCUAAUACCGCAUAAUAUUAAUUAUUGCAUGAUAUUAAAUUGAAAGGUGCAAUUGCACCACUACCAGAUGGACCUGCGUUGUAUUAGCUAGUAGGUGAGGUAACGGCUCACCUAGGCGACGAUACAUAGCCGACCUGAGAGGGUGAUCGGCCACACUGGGACUGAGACACGGCCCAGACUCCUACGGGAGGCAGCAGUAGGGAAUCUUCGGCAAUGGACGAAAGUCUGACCGAGCAACGCCGCGUGAGUGAAGAAGGUUUUCGGAUCGUAAAGCUCUGUUGUAAGAGAAGAACGGGUGUGAGAGUGGAAAGUUCACACUGUGACGGUAUCUUACCAGAAAGGGACGGCUAACUACGUG